rnacentral:tRNA from 1 species
GCCGCAGUAGCUCAGUUGGUGAGAGCGCAUGCAUGGUAAGCAUGAGGUCGGGAGUUCAAUCCUCCCCUGUGGCU